ACGGGUGAGUAACGCGUGGGAACGUACCUUUUGGUUCGGAACAACACAGGGAAACUUGUGCUAAUACCGGAUAAGCCCUUACGGGGAAAGAUUUAUCGCCGAAAGAUCGGCCCGCGUCUGAUUAGCUAGUUGGUGAGGUAAUGGCUCACCAAGGCGACGAUCAGUAGCUGGUCUGAGAGGAUGAUCAGCCACAUUGGGACUGAGACACGGCCCAAACUCCUACGGGAGGCAGCAGUGGGGAAUAUUGGACAAUGGGCGCAAGCCUGAUCCAGCCAUGCCGCGUGAGUGAUGAAGGCCCUAGGGUUGUAAAGCUCUUUUGUGCGGGAAGAUAAUGACGGUACCGCAAGAAUAAGCCCCGGCUAACUUCGUGCCAGCAGCCGCGGUAAUACGAAGGGGGCUAGCGUUGCUCGGAAUCACUGGGCGUAAAGGGUGCGUAGGCGGGUCUUUAAGUCAGGGGUGAAAUCCUGGAGCUCAACUCCAGAACUGCCUUUGAUACUGAAGAUCUUGAGUUCGGGAGAGGUGAGUGGAACUGCGAGUGUAGAGGUGAAAUUCGUAGA
rnacentral:rRNA from 2 species